rnacentral:rRNA from 1 species
CAAUAGCGUAUAUUAAAGUUGUUGCAGUUAAAAAGCUCGUAGUUGGAUUUCUGAUCAAGACAUCAGGUCGGGUCCGAGAGGAUCAUGUACUUUGAUUUUGUUUUGAUCAUCCUUGGGGAGAGCAUUUCUGGCAUUCAGUUGUCGGGAUUGGGAUCCUCAUCGUUUACUGUGAAAAAAUUAGAGUGUUCAAAGCAGGCCUCGGCCUCUGAAUACAUUAGCAUGGAAUAAUAAGAUAGGACUUUGGUGGUCUAUUUUGUUGGUUUGCACGCCAAAGUAAUGAUUAAUAGGGAUAGUUGGGGGUAUUCGUAUUCAAUUGUCAGAGGUGAAAUUCUUGGAUUUAUGGAAGACGAACUACUGCGAAAGCAUUUACCAAGGAUGUUUUCAUUAA